AAUCACGCUCAUGAAUCUUUUCCAUGAAUCAUUUGAUCCUGUUCACACAACCGGCUUGAUUCUGGUCCAUUCAAGUUUCGGUCUGGUUAACAAGCUAGCUCUUGAAGUGAAGCUCAUCAGUGAAUAACGACUUUAAUUUCAGUCUGUUUGUCACAUAAAGCUGUCACUUCAUAAAACUUGAAUAUAGCGACGAAUAGUAUUAAUUUCGAAUCACUUUUCUGCUAGCUAUAUUUAUUAGCCUAUGUUUUUCGUCAUUGUGGAGCAUGACCUCAAUCACUAACCGACAUAUUCUUUAGAAAGUCCUUGUUUUCCAGAGAAGAAAGUCAUAAGGAUUACGACAUGAGGUACAAACUCUUGAUCUGGCCAUGAUUCUCAGUGAUAAAGGUGUGAAUGGCAACAAAUGUGCACAUGCACUCUGUGCCCUGUCCUUCCAAAUGAGGGGUGAGGAUCAGGAGGCAUUCAUACUGACUCUAACACAACCAAGACAUGGCAAUCUUUUAUGAUCUUCGGCUGAUGUCUCUGGCCGUGCUGAUGCUGGCGUCUCAGCUGAACUCUGCCAGCGCAACUGUAGAGUUGAAAGAUUUAAAAGGCAGUAAUCUUUCUGGUGAUUUUGCAAACAAACCCGAUCCAUACGUCAAGAUGUGGUGCAAUGGUCAAUAUAAGAAAGCAGACAAAAUCGAGAAUACUAAUGAUCCUAGUUGGCGUGAUGAUGUGUUCACGUUUUCAAGUUGUAAUUCUGGUCACAAACUAAAGGUGGAAGUGUGGGACGAAGACCCAGGCAAUGACGAUAAAUUGGGCUGGUAUGAAGGAAAUGUGGGAAAAGGAUCUAAUAUUCCUGUUAAAUUUUCUGCUGGCAAAGGAAUCAUAGAGUUCAAAUACACUGUGAAAUAAAUAUGUUCAUAAUCAGCACUUUGUAAAGCUGCUUUGAGACAAACAUCCUUUGUAAGAAGCUCAGUAGUAAUAAAGCACAAUAGCAUUGAACACCA